UUAAGUUCAGCGGGUAGUCCUACCUGAUUUGAGGUCAGAUUUUCAUAGGUUGUCCGAAGGGACGAUUCGAAGCCAGAACACGUUCAAAGUACUGAGACGAGGCAGCGUAGACAAUUAUCACGCUGGAUCAUGCUCAAUAGUAUUCAAGCUAAUGCAUUUAAGAGGAGCCAAUGCUUAAAAGUAGCAUCAGCAAAAACCUC
rnacentral:misc_RNA from 1 species